rnacentral:rRNA from 1 species
AGAGAGAGACAUGCGCGCAUAUCAAUAAGCGGAGGAAAAGAAACUAACAAGGAUUCCCUUAGUAACGGCGAGUGAAGCGGGAAGAGCUCAAAUUUGAAAUCUUCAAGGUUUUACCUUGACGAAUUGUAGUUUAAAGAAGUGUUUUCUGCUGAAGUUUUGGUAAAAGUUCUUUGGAAUAGGACAUCAUAGAGGGUGAGAAUCCCGUAUUUGACCAUUAUUUUCAGCUUUGUGAUACACUUUCAAAGAGUCGGAUUGUUUGGGAAUGCAGUCCAAAAUGGGUGGUAAAUUUCAUCUAAAGCUAAAUAUUGGCGAGAGACCGAUAGCGAACAAGUAUCCGUGAGGGAAAGAUGAAAAGAACUUUGAAAAGAGAGUUAAACAGUACGUGAAAUUGUCAAAAGGGAAGCGUUUGACACCAGUGUUGUUUUCUCGAAAAUCAAUUAAAAAUGGCUCGAUUUUGUAUUGUUGAGACCUUAAAAGCUCACUGUACAUUUUUCGUGUCUUUUUUAAUGCACUUUUCGUUUAACAAGUCAACAUCAGUUUCUUUUGUUGUAAAAGGGUCAUUGGAAGGUGGCUUUCUUUUCGGAGAAAGUGUUUAUAGCCUUUGGCCUCUGCAAUCGGAGAGACUGAGGUCUGCAGCGUAGACUCUUCGGGGUUAGAUACAUUUGUGCUAAGUUAUAGCUCUUUAUAGACAACUUGUUGACUAUAAUUAGUCUUGUAGCUUACUCGCUUAUGCUAUUUUACCUACGCUUAGGAUGUUGAAGAUGUAGCACAUCAU